CCUACGGGCGGCAGCAGUGAGGAAUAUUGGUCAAUGGACGAGAGUCUGAACCAGCCAAGUAGCGUGAAGGAUGACUGCCCUAUGGGUUGUAAACUUCUUUUAUAUGGGAAUAAAAUGUUCCACGUGUGGGCUUUUGUAUGUACCAUAUGAAUAAGGAUCGGCUAACUCCGUGCCAGCAGCCGCGGUAAUACGGAGGAUCCGAGCGUUAUCCGGAUUUAUUGGGUUUAAGGGGAGCGUAGGUGGAUUGUUAAGUCGGUUGUGAAAGUUUGCGGCUCAACCGUAAAAUUGCAGUUGAAACUGGCAGUCUGGAGUACAGUAGAGGUGGGCGGAAUUCGUGGUGUAGCGGUGAAAUGCUUAGAUAUUAGGAGGAACACCAGUGGCGAAGGCGGCUUACUGGACUGUAACUGACGUUGAGGCUCGAAAGCGUGGGGAGCAAACAGGAUUAGAUACCCCAGUAGUC
rnacentral:rRNA from 1 species